rnacentral:rRNA from 1 species
AGUAACGGCGAGUGAAGCGGCAACAGCUCAAAUUUGAAAUCUGGCCUCUUUUGGGGUCCGAGUUGUAAUUUGUAGAGGAUGUUUUGGGUACCGCACUGGUUUAAAUUUCUUGGAACAGAAUG